CUAUGCCCUGGGAAGGUCUCCAGGAAAGGGCACCUCAGCUUAUGCACUGUACAGGGAGAUUAUUAGCAGGGAGGCAAUGUCUGUUCACCAUGACAUCAGCGGUCCCUUCUUGGACAUUCUAUUGUGUCCUAGAGAGUUCUUGGCAUCCUCUGUGAUGUCACCAGUGUUGUAGUAACCACCAGUGCCCUACUUUUUCUCAGUCCCUGCCUGGCAGAUACACAGGAAGACAUGUUUUCCCGGCUUCGCAAGAAUUUUGGGAGAGUGAACGCCGAUUUUGGACAGACUGGAGUGAGGGAAUCUCGCCUUUCAUCAAAAAUAAAAGAUGGACAACGAAAGCUGGCCUGGGGAAUGCUGAAGGAUGGGAGACUGACAUCAUCCCCUGGCCCUGUGGUAAUCAACAAGGAGGCCAACACGGAGAACACAGAAGAGCAGAGACUGAUUAGACAGCUGCAGUCAGCUACUGAGGAGAGAAAUGAGCUAAGAGAUCUCCUGACUUACGUGACAGAGAGAUACAGGAACAACAGGUAUGCAUUGCUCCAAACUGCCUUGUGUCACUCAUGGACCUGCAAUGUCACCUCCAUCGUAUUCUAUUAAGGUGUUGGGGUCUAGAAAGCUGUGCCUCCCAAAGAACUUGUCCUAAACCUCAUUUCUGAUAUAGAGGAGAUUCAGAACCUGACCCUUGGUCAGGAGUGAGAUGGGAAAUGGUCUCAUCUGCUGCCUCCAGCUGAAAAUCUGAACUUGUGGCCUUAGUGAGGAUUCAGGGAUAACGUUACUGGAGCAUGAGUUCCCAGUGUGCAUUUGGAAAGCCCUUGACAGGUGGUAGCUUUGCAAGGUUCUAGGUGCUGUGAGUUUGGGUGUGUGCUAGGAAGGUGACUGAGUGCUGGACUCUUGUUGCAGUAGCCUGAGGUGACAGAUCCCAAAUUGUUCAUCUCAAUGUUUGACUAGAUGGCCAGAGACACAGGGCUUUUCCUUCUUUCUUGUUUACCUCUGAGCCAAUAAUGUGGCAUGCAUUUUUUCUGAUUCUGAUUGUGUUCUCCGUUUGCAUAUUUCGCUCCCUUUUUCAUUCUCUUACUGUUUACUUUUCUUUUCCUGUGUGUGUGUCCCAG
rnacentral:lncRNA from 1 species